rfam:Desulfosporosinus youngiae DSM 17734 chromosome, whole genome shotgun sequence.
UCUGGUGAUUAUGCCGGAGGGGUUCCACCCGUUCCCAUACCGAACACGGAAGUUAAGACCUCCAGGGCCAAGGAUACUUGGAGCAUAGCUCCUGGGAAAGCAGGUCAUCGCCAGGU